UCCCUGUUCACACUGUAGAACAGCAGAGACGCUGUGAGUCGGUUCAAUUCAGUGAACCGAUUCAUCCGAUUCGCGGCCAUUUUCCAUUUUCACACGCGUCAUCACAAGCACACUUCUGAACGUACCAUCUUCUGCUCAGUUUGCGUCUGGAUCAGCACUUUUAACUUCUGUUUCUCAGUUUGUUCUGGAGAAAGCUGCAGGUUUAAAAUGGACUCGGAUCUUUCCUGGAGCAGUCUGCACAUUUCCGCCACUACUGUGUGAAUUAAAGCCUGCAGCACGGAGGCUAAGCGCGUCUUAAACCGGGCUAUUUAAGGAGGGAGAGCGAGAGCAGAGGAGCUCUCUCCACAACCCGAGGACCGGAAUGUGUGUGCGUACGUGUGUGGCUGAGAGAGAAACGUUUGCACUGAAAAGUGAAAAUAAAAGAGUUUUUGCGAA